rnacentral:rRNA from 1 species
UACGAAGGGGGCUAGCGUUGUUCGGAUUUACUGGGCGUAAAGCGCACGUAGGCGGAUCGUUAAGUCGGAGGUGAAAUCCUGGAGCUCAACUCCAGAACUGCCUUCGAUACUGGGAGUCUUGAGUCCGGGAGAGGUGAGUGGAACUGCGAGUGUAGAGGUGAAAUUCGUAGAUAUUCGCAAGAACACCAGUGGCGAAGGCGGCUCACUGGCCCGGUACUGACGCUGAGGUGCGAAAGCGUGGGGAGCAAACAGG